GACGAACGCUGGCGGCGUGCUUAACACAUGCAAGUCGAGCGGUAAGGCCCCUUCGGGGGUACACGAGCGGCGAACGGGUGAGUAACACGUGGGUGACCUGCCCUCAGCUCUGGGAUAAGCCUGGGAAACUGGGUCUAAUACCGGAUAUGACUCCAUGACGCAUGUCGUGGGGUGGAAAGCCUUGUGCGGCUGGGGAUGGGCCCGCGGCCUAUCAGCUUGUUGGUGGGGUGAUGGCCUACCAAGGCGACGACGGGUAGCCGGCCUGAGAGGGCGACCGGCCACACUGGGACUGAGACACGGCCCAGACUCCUACGGGAGGCAGCAGUGGGGAAUCUUGCGCAAUGGGCG
rnacentral:rRNA from 1 species